rnacentral:rRNA from 1 species
UGGGGAAUAUUGCGCAAUGGGCGAAAGCCUGACGCAGCGACGCCGCGUGAGGGAUGAAGGUUUUCGGAUCGUAAACCCCUUUCAGAAGGGAAGAAACCGCACUGUGCUAAUCAGCAGUGCCUUGACGGUACCUUCAAAGGAAGCACCGGCUAACUCCGUGCCAGCAGCCGCGGUAAUACGGAGGGUGCAAGCGUUAAUCGGAAUUACUGGGCGUAAAGCGCACGUAGGCUGCUUUGUAAGUCAGGGGUGAAAUCCCACGGCUCAACCGUGGAACUGCCUUUGAUACUGCUUAGCUUGGAGCCGGGAGAGGGUGGCGGAAUUCCAGGUGUAGGAGUGAAAUCCGUAGAUAUCUGGAGGAACAUCAGUGGCGAAGGCGGCCACCUGGACCGGUAUUGACGCUGGGGUGCGAAAGCGUGGGGGGCAAACAGG